ensembl:lncRNA
UCUCUCCUCCAAUUAUGGAACACAGGGUCCAUUCUCUUCGACUUUCGUCAAAAUAUUCCCUCCUCUUAUUAAAUAUGUCCAUUUGCCAAUUUAAAAAAAUAGGCUAUAAAGAGUUGGCCGAUGCCAUAUACGAACAAAAAGUUAGUUUUCAAGACGUCCAAUUUAAUGGAAAAUAUUUUGGACUGCGAUACAACCAUGCAUCCAAUAGCCAUUUCAUUCGUGGACUGAAUACCCUCUGCACCGCCGAAUAACUCAAUAAAACUCCAGCAAAUUCUUUCUAAGACCGAUUUUUAUUUGGCAUGCCGACGAGAAUGAUGCAGAUGCACGCAUCUUCGGCAGCUUAUUUGUCUCGCCCCGUUCCGCCUGAUGUCAUUUCGUUUUACCAACGAAAGAAGCCAAAAUCCAUCGUCCAUUGGAAACCGGUUGGAGCGAUCGAAACAUUGGUUGGUUGGCAAAACUUAUCACCGCAGGAAACCAAAGGGCAGGUGCCUCAUUCAUGGCUGAACGAUCUUCCAACGGCAGAGACUCGUCCUUAUCGUGCGUAAUCCUGGAAUCGAACCCCAUCAAGGACCAACACCGGCGCCACCUCUUCUCGAUCAAAUUGGACUCGUACAACGUGGACGAGAUUGACGAUGAGAGCAGAGGGAGGCUGUUAAUUCUUGACGACAGCGGGUUCGAAGAAUUUGUAGACGACACAGGUGACGGAGAAUUUCCCUCGUCGUUUCAAGUCAGUCGACGCGAAACUGGCUUUAUCGGCCAAACAUCACCGGCGGGCGUCCAGCAGAGCAAAGCAAAGGCAGGCGGACCGACUGUUCACGGAGAGGACAACGGAGAGAUUACCGAGUCAUUAUUUAGGUUACAAGAAGCCACCUGGCCUGACUGAGGGAAACAACGGUUGGCUGGCUGUCUGCUAAAGCCGAUAGCAGGAAACGCAGCCCUUACACUAAGCACCAAACUCUGGAGCUGGAGAAGGAGUUCCCUUACAACAUGUAUUUAUCGAAACAGCGCCGCCUAGAGAUCAGCCAAAACCUUGACCUAACAGACAGGCAGUUCAAAAUCUGGUUCCAGAAUCGCAGAAUGAAGAUGAAGAAGCAACACCGAAGUUCCAGGGAUACUGUGAAAAACAAAAACAGUGAAAACUGAUUAAACCAAGGACAUAGAAGACUGACCCUCUGAUUCAUUGACUGAAUGACAAAAUCAUUAAAGUUUUCAAAGCAUACAUAGACACACGCACGCACGCACGCACACACACACACACACACACACACACACACACACACACACACACACACACACACACACACACACACACACACACACACACACACACACACACACUCAUACAAAGAUAUAUAAUCAAACACUUAAUAACACACGUUUAAUUCUGUUCCGUGUCACUUGUCCGUUUCAUCAUUGUUAUAUGGAAAUUCCAUUUAUAAUGUAGGCCUACUUUAUAUCCUGUGGGAGCUAGAAUUCAAUUUUUAAUUAAUAAGUUUAUUAGCUUGUCUUUUUGAUGCCCACUUUGAAUUAGCGCACAAUUGGUCACCUUUUUGCUUAUAGUAUUUAGUAAGGCUCCACAUCUAGUACAUUCAGCACUUUUAAAAUAGUCUUGAACAUUGCGUUUCUACGUCUCCAGUGAAGUCAGAGGGGAGCUUUUUGGAUUCCACUGCGUAAAGACAUUAGAACAAAUAUAGUAAUCCCUUGCUGACCCAGCACUUGUGUUACGUAUUGGUACUUGUUACAUCAGAAUAGCAUUGUUUUGCAUGUGUUUAAUUUACACCCAAUAUGUGGCACACAUUUGAUAUAUGCAUGUAUUGCCUGAUAGAAUGCCGGAUAGAUUGAUAACACACAUUCAAUUCGGCUUUCCAAUUUAAUGAUUAAAAUCUUCCAAUGCUUUUUUCCUCGAAGGAAUGUAUUAAUAAAGGAACGCCUAUUCAAAGUUCAGAAAGUGGAGACUUAUUGCACACACUACUUUGCAAACUGAUGCACAGUGCUAUCUAGCUAUUCAUUAAAAAUGUAAAGUAGGACACUGAUAUUCCGUUCGCUAAAUGAAGUGUAGCCUACCGGAUAUUAAACUUUCAUAUUCAGAUCCAGAGGCCACACUGACCAAAUAUUCAAUAAUGAGAGUCUUGAUUAGAGAGAGCCUCAUUGACG